rnacentral:lncRNA from 12 species
AAAAUAAUAUGCUUUAGAAAGCACUACCAAUUAAGUUCCAUAAAGGCCCCCUCUAUUCAUUCCUAAUAUUCGAGUCCCUGGCACCAGUAAUGGAGCUUUGGAUGUGCUGCAUCACAAGGAGAAUCAUAAUCCUUCAAACCUGCUUGUGCUGGGGCAGAUGGAUUGGAGAGAUGAUGUUUGACAAAUUCUCUGUCAUUUUGGAGGAGGGAGAAGCAGAGCAGAACACGAAUGAGUACAUGACGGCCUCAGAGGCCUGCCAAAAACCAGACCAGACAUUCUUCACCAACUCAAGCCAUGUCCUACCCAGUUAUCUACCAUUUUGGACACAAAGAGAGAAGACGUAACUAAGAGGAAGAAAUGAAGAAGCACUUAGAAAUUGGAAAGCAGAAAUAGUUGCUCUAAGAUCUGCUGAACCUCCCUGAUUCUCUCAUCUUAAGUAUUUACAAAGGAGUUUAUGAGCUCAAGCAGACUCUACCUCAGCGUGCUCAUCUAUAAAAUGGGGGGGAUGGGCAAUAUGAGUGUAUUAGCUUCCUCCAGGGAAGUCAUGCUGUUUGACAACCUGUAGGAUAAUUUUAUAGUUUCAAUAUAUAGCCAAGGAGCAAAGAAUCUAAAUUUCUGCUGAAUCCCUGGAUGACAACAGGAGGCAUCGUGUGCACGAAUGGAUCUCAUUCACUCCACGUCCUUCUUUGCCAGAAAUAGAAGAAAAACUUGCCUUAAGGAUAGCUGUUUUUAUUGGGUAUUGUCUGCUGUGAAUAAGGAAGUUUGUAAGAGUCUUAUGAGGACAAUGCAACAUGUGAUACAUUCAUCUUAACUUCCCAAUGCGAGGAGACACAAAGCAUAUGUAGGCAUUUCCC